AUUGAACGCUGGCGGCAUGCUUUACACAUGCAAGUCGAACGGUAACAGGCCGCAAGGUGCUGACGAGUGGCGAACGGGUGAGUAAUGCAUCGGAACGUGCCCAGUCGUGGGGGAUAACGCAGCGAAAGCUGCGCUAAUACCGCAUACGAUCUAUGGAUGAAAGCGGGGGACCGUAAGGCCUCGCGCGAUUGGAGCGGCCGAUGUCAGAUUAGGUAGUUGGUGGGGUAAAGGCUCACCAAGCCAACGAUCUGUAGCUGGUCUGAGAGGACGACCAGCCACACUGGGACUGAGAAACGGCCCAGACUCCUACGGGAGGCAGCAGUGGGGAAUUUUGGACAAUGGGCGCAAGCCUGAUCCAGCAAUGCCGCGUGCAGGAAGAAGGCCUUCGGGUUGUAAACUGCUUUUGUACGGAACGAAAAGGCUCUGGUUAAUACCUGGGGCUCAUGACGGUACCGUAAGAAUAAGCACCGGCUAACUACGUGCCAGCCGCCGCCGUAAUAC
rnacentral:rRNA from 1 species